rnacentral:lncRNA from 1 species
CAAGCGGCUCAUCGGCCGCAGGUGGCACGACCCGUCUGUGCAGCAGGACAUCGAGUUCCUGCCGUUCAAGGUUACCCAUGCAGUUGUUACUGCACCAGCCUAUUUCAAUGAUGCCCAAUGCCAAGCAACCAAGGACGCUGGAACUAUUGCUGACCUAAAUGUUAUGAGGAUCAUCAAUAAGCCUACAGCAGCUGCUAUUGCUUAUGGCCUGGAUAAGAGGGAGGGGGAGAAGAACAUCCUGGUGUUUGACCUGGGU